GUUAGCUGGAGAUUCAAGCAGAUGCGAGGGGCACCAAAACCCGUUGGAAGCUCAGUUGGAGCAGUUGGAGUUGUUGUACCUGUUGUAACUGAAUUGUAACAGCUUAGUUCUUCAUUAAGUGUAUAAAUACACCAAUGCUGUGCUGGGGAAAGGGGAACGAUAAUUAAUUAGUCUUCUCUCCUGUUCUUCUACUGGAAAUUCUCUCUUCCUCUCUCCCUUUGAAUUUCUCUAUUUAUGUAUAUUCUAUCUGAUCUUGUUAAUGAAAAGUUCUUAAUUUCUCG
rnacentral:misc_RNA from 1 species